rnacentral:lncRNA from 1 species
UAUUUUAUUUAUUUUUAUUUAUUUUUGUUUGUUUAUUUAAUUCUAAACCAAGGGUAUUAGGGAUAUUUUACCCUUUAAUGAAUGUCAUUUUUGUGACUUUCUCCUUCUAGUGCUAUUUUUGAGACAUAAACUUCAAAAGAUGCUAUUAUUGACAAUUGCCCAUAUAACUAUGCAACUUGACAUAUUUAAUAUUGUUACCAAAAAAUACAUUAAAUUAAAUUUAUAUUAAUUACAAAAACACAUGUUUUUAAAUAUCGUUUUUUCACAAAACCCGAAUCGGUUUUAGAUUGGAUCACCAGGUUUACCGGUUCAACCGCGGGUCUGGAUCGUGUUUUAAAACACUGUAAAAAACACAAAUAGAAAAAUUAAGUUUCUCCAAAAAAAUAAAAUAAAAAAUAUACCCACCCUUUGAAAGGACGGGUCAACAUCUAGUUAGUAGUUAAAAUAUUUAUAAACCAUGGGUAAAAAUUGUUUAAAUCCAUGGUCUAUCAACUCCCCAGACCUUACCUUUUUGCUUGUCCUCAAGCAAAACAAACAUGCAGUUUCUCUGAAAGAGGUUUGAAAACAAACGAACUCAUAUAAUUUAAAACUUAGAAUGAACACCUUAGACAGUCCUAGUCUCAGAAGCACACUAUACCAUAUCCUAGUCUAGCAACCAAAUUCAUCUAGUCAACAACUUAGCAAAUCAUGUCUGACAAUCCCCU